GGGGGUGUUAUGGUUUCGCCUGUGUAGUGGAUUGUUUCAGUAGCGGGUCGAGGACACCUUUCACUCGUUAAACACUGGUAACUAAAAUUAAAUGCAAACGAUAACUACGCUUUAGCAGCUGCUUAAGACUGCUAACGCUUAACUGUCUCCAGUCUGCAGAGACAGUUAGGUGUCAUAAUCAGCAGACUACCUUCUAUCUGAUGACUGUAUGAUAGAAGGGAUAAUUUACAGUCUCGUAGUAUAGGACCCUGUCUGUUGGGGACUAUGCUGCUAAAUUAAAAAACAGACUACACCCGUAGAAGCUGUUACAAGAGCUAUGCAGUACGCGGGUUCGAGUCCCGCCACCUCCACCA
rnacentral:tmRNA from 1 species